rnacentral:tRNA from 1 species
AGUCGCGUGUCGAUAAGGACUCCCUCCGGUUUUGUAAACCGCAGGUCAUCGGUUCGAGUCCGAUCGGCGGCUG